ACUGACACGCAGCUUUGGUUAAAGAGCGGGCGCACAGGAGGGGAGGAGACCGCGCGCGGGACGGGGAGGAAUGGCCUGUCCGCGUUAAACCAUCACAAGCCAUGGUUGCGGAAGGGCCACGCGUCCCCCAGUAGGAGAAUGACUCCGAUUCGUGACCCUCAGCACCGGUGCAUGUCGAUCAAGUUUAUUUCUGAUCGUGAAAGUAGAAGAAGUCUCACAAACAGCCAUUUGGAAAAAAAGAAGUGUGAUGAGUAUAUUCCAGGUACAACCUCCUUAGGCAUGUCUGUUUUUAACCUAAGCAAUGCCAUUAUGGGCAGUGGGAUUUUGGGACUCGCCUUUGCCCUGGCAAACACUGGAAUCCUACUUUUUCUGGUACUUUUGACUUCAGUGACAUUGCUGUCUAUAUAUUCAAUAAACCUCCUAUUGAUCUGUUCAAAAGAAACAGGCUGCAUGGUGUAUGAAAAGCUGGGGGAACAAGUCUUUGGCACCACAGGGAAGUUCGUAAUCUUUGGAGCCACCUCUCUACAGAACACUGGAGCAAUGCUGAGCUACCUCUUCAUCGUAAAAAACGAACUACCCUCUGCCAUAAAGUUUCUAAUGGGAAAGGAAGAGACAUUUUCAGCCUGGUACGUGGAUGGCCGCGUUCUGGUGGUGAUAGUCACCUUUGGCAUAAUUCUCCCUCUGUGUCUCUUGAAGAACUUAGGGUAUCUUGGCUAUACUAGUGGAUUUUCCUUGAGCUGUAUGGUUUUUUUCCUAAUAGUGGUUAUUUACAAGAAAUUUCAAAUUCCCUGCAUUGUUCCAGAGCUAAAUUCAACAAUAAGUGCUAAUUCAACAAAUGCUGACACGUGUACGCCAAAAUAUGUUACCUUCAAUUCAAAGACCGUGUAUGCUUUACCCACCAUUGCAUUUGCAUUUGUUUGCCACCCGUCAGUCCUGCCAAUUUACAGUGAGCUUAAAGACCGAUCACAGAAAAAAAUGCAGAUGGUUUCAAACAUCUCCUUUUUCGCCAUGUUUGUUAUGUACUUCUUGACUGCCAUUUUUGGCUACUUGACAUUCUAUGACAACGUGCAGUCAGA
rnacentral:sRNA from 1 species